AAGAAGUGUCGUUCUCCCAUCAGGAAGGAAAGUGCUGCUCAGUGAUACUGUGGGAUUCAUAUCAGAAUUGCCUAUACAGCUAGUAGAGGCCUUUCAUGCAACAUUGGAAGAGGUUGUUGAAGCUGACCUUCUUGUGCACGUUCUGGACUCGAGUGCACCAAACCUAAAUGAGCAGCGGGAAGCAGUGUUGCAAGUUCUCGGGCAGAUAGGAGUCUCUGAGCAGAAGCUCCAGAAUAUGAUUGAAGUUUGGAAUAAGAUGCAUUGCUUCAGUAUUUCGAAAUUUAUGUAGAUUGAUCUUCGCGAGGAUUUUGUUGGAGAUGGUUAUUGCAAUGAGGAUGAAGUUCCUAGCGGGUUAGAAGAAAACAAUGAUGUUGCAUCCAAUAAAUUGUGUGAAGAGGACCUCCUUGAAUAUGAUGAUAAUGAAGAUGAGGACUUUGAGCAAUCAGGCAAGCUUGGAGAGGUCAUAGAUGAUCAACAAGGUAACUACACCGACGAGUUGGUCUCAGGUGAUGAACAAGAGUCCUGGGUCGACUAUAAUGGUUCCUUAGUGGGCUGUGGGAGUGCUGAGGUCCAGCAAAACGACCCCUCUAACAAGUGGGAGGUCGUUGGAAGUGAAAAUCAGUUUGGAUCCGAGUCUGCUCCACAUGUCAAGACAUCUGCCUUAACAGGUGUUGGGUUGCAAGAGUUGCUGGAGCUUCUUGAUGAAAAAUUGAAGCCCCAGAAAACCAUAGAGAAGGAUAUAUUUGACCGUAAAUGGAGACCACCACGCACAGAGGAUGCGAGAAUAGCGGUUGAGCAAUAGUGUUUAUUUAUAGCAGCUGUGGAAGCUUUAACAUAGAUAGGAGGACUCAUGACUAACAAGUACGUACGUGCAUCCCCUUGACAUGGAAUAUUCGAACAUGGAUUGGAGCUGCCUUUUGGACUGUGGUCAUCAGUUAUUCGGGAUGUCUUCACUCCCACUUUAAAUAUGAAUAAGGUUAUUCUAUAUCUGGUAUUUCUCAGAAUAUUAAGAGGUGCUAUCAAACUACGAAAAUGCCUAUUGUAACGGGUUCACAGGCUCUCUUGCAAGUUACAUGCUUCUGGCUUUCACACCCAUUUUCGGCCCACAGCCUGUAGUGUAUAGAUGAUAUUUCCUUUAUGUUACAUCAUGUACUUUGAAAAACUUGUGAGCCGUGACAUAUCAUGUGCUGUUGUAGAAGUAGACGUCUUAAGUGCUUGUGUGACAAAACUAUCAAGUUGUAGAGCAAAGUCCGAAGUGGUUUGUGAUUGUAUAUUUCUCAGUUAUCAAAGUAGAGCUUUUCGCCAUAUU
rnacentral:misc_RNA from 1 species